CUUCAACGACACUUGACCGAACGGCCUGCGGUGCUUUUUGUCCCUUUGUCCGCCCCGUAGAAACGGGAAGUACAAGAGAAAGCUACUGAAAAAUAAAAACAAAUUGAUGCUAAAACAUCCAAACAUAUUUGUCCCAAAAUGGACAGUCAGAACCCAAAGUCAACGAAUAACGAUUCACGCUGCGUAUUUUUUAACACAGUUUCAGAAGACUACCAAUGUGUAAGUAGCUGGCAUACUUGUAAACUCAUUAUAGGCGCUUGUUUUUAGCUCACGUUAACUUACGUUAGUUUGCGACAUAGCAUGUAGUUGUUAGCUCACUAAUAGUUCGGUCAUUUUGUAUUAGAGCUGAUUCAUUGACCGACUCUCCGACACGCUUUAAAGGCACAACUGAGCUGCUGACUACCGACGCUGCAGCGCGACCGUUAGCUCGACCGGCUCACUAGCUAGCGCGAGCUAACGUUCCUCUGUCGGCUCUGCUAAGCUACUGAAGCUAAGCUAGCUGAGCAUUAUUACUCAAGCGAGCAGCGGUGUUUUACAUGCGUGACACGCUGUGGAAGCUAUGCAUGGAGACAAGGAGAGUUUCCUAUCUUUAAAUUAGACCAUGAGCCUGUUUUUCUCUUCAGUUAGCCGGAGAGAAGGACAGCAGCACAACAAAGAUAAGACUACAACAUCCGUGGUGAAAUACAACUGAAUACACGUAUUCGUGUCCUUCACUGAAUUGCUUGUACUUCACUUAAGUAUACACACUUUGCUGUGUGCAAUUUUAUUCGUUUAUUUCAAUACAUGUCCGAGGGUAAUGCACGUUUUACUUCACUAAAAGGCAGUAGAGUAACACUAUUAUUUAAAGAAACGUACCCACUGCUUUGUAUAUCAACACUAUGAAUUAAAUCCAUUAUAGUAGAUCAAUCUCCCCAGCAGUAUGUAAAGACGUCACUCUUCCCCUACCUAUUUUAACAUUUAAGUAAUUUGGGAAUAUUCUGCUAUUUCUACAUUUACUAAAGUUAAUGAUCUUGAUAAUGAUCUGAAUACACACUAUAUAUAUAUAUGAAUAUAUCUCCAAGCGCUAGUACAGCACUGAUGACGUCCAGUUUUAAUGCACAUAUUGUCAGUUGCGUUGGACAAAAACAUCAGUCAAAUGAAUAUUACGUAGUGAUUUAUAAUUUUGUUGUAUUUAAUAGCAACAUUGCAAAUUGUCCAAGACGACAACACUAAACAUAGGCUAUAAAAUAUCCAGGGCUUGAAUAAACAACUCUCUGGCAGAGCAUCAGAACAAAAAUAACUCAUCAUGACCUUCAUAACUUGCGGAUGCAAAGGUCUCUUGAAAUCCCGCCAGGUCGUAGCAUUGAGUACACACCCAGAGGAUGACAAUUAACCCGUCUUCACAAAACACAGCAGGCUACCGUAGUUCCAUAGAUGGUCUCUGUCUGUGGUGCGUUGGUGUUAACGUGCGAAGGUAAAAUGUUCUUGUGUCAGCAGCUUUAGGCUGCAGGUCAUCCUGCACUCGCUCGGCCUGAAUAAGAAUGCUGCACCAAUGCUGUCUUCCCUUGAGCCCACAUUUCUCUUCCAACUACGAGCAGUCGCUGACGAUACAAGCACUGGAUCCCAGUGCCCUGCCCACGGUCUUAUUAACCCAAAUAAAGACGGCCCACAGCAACCAAGCAGUUAUACCGGUUUGAGUUUGGUAACACCCAAAGUGGUCGUUUUCAUCAUUUAUUCACCAUAACUCUUCCAUUUUAUCCACUAUUCAUGUGUUCUUGCCAUCGGUUCUGUUUGUUGCAUCAUCCUCGUUUUUUCACAAUUUUCACAAUUUCAGUUGUUUCAGUUCCUCAUUCGUGCUGCUAUAGUACACCAUUUACUCAAUGUAAUCACAGUUAGUCAAACUAAAGUUGUCUGGGAUAUUUUGAUAAUCUAUCCAUCGUUGAAGUAAGUUUUUUGACAAAAAGCAAACGUUUCCUUGUUCAAGUUUUGGUGUUUGUCUUUGAUCUAAUAAAUCUCAGGUAUAUUUGUGUAAAACAUUACACAGAUGUUUGUGUGACUUGCAUUUCAUAAAGAGGGAAAUCCGUACAGCAGAAAGGCAUAUAUAAAGGCAUAAUAAAGGUUUCCAAAAAGCCAGAUCACGUCUGCCCUAUUAAUAAGACAAAAUGUAGGAAAAUACAGUCUUUUAACACUCUGGCAGUUGCGUAAUGGGAGCCAUCAUUGAAAUGUAAUUAAAUCAGUAAUAAAAUGUUACAAGACUGUUGACCAUGUUUCUUUAUCUGUCCAAAAAUCUUACGUUACUUCAAAAACACCCUGAGUCCAUACGGGAACAGGUGGUGAUUUUAAGGGUAAAACGAGCCACAGGAACCUUCUCCUUAGUAGGAUGCGUUUUCAUGCUCUUUGUGAUUUGGCUGCUUCGCAGGUAUCACUCUCUGGCUCAGAAGAUGAUUCUCAGCCUGACUGUAGCUGCCUUCUUCAACAGUGUAGCAUACGUCAUGGGUGACUCACAUCCAGUGGGAGCUCUGUGUGACUUCCAGGCCUGCUGGUUAACUUACUUUGACUGGAGUGCCUUGGCCUGGGUUUGUCUCAUCACUCUGAACCUCUACCUCAACCUGGUGAGAGAAAUCAGCACCAACCGAUACGAGAUGUUGUACCAUCUGAUGGCGUGGGGGCUUCCUCUGGUCAUGGCCUCCCUGCCCCUGCUAAAGGGCUACUACGGCCCCGCUGGAGCCUGGUGCUGGAUCACAGACGAUCACGUAGCCUGGAGAUUUGGGAUAUGGUACGUGCCUCUGUUCAGCCUCAUCUUCUUGAUGAUCUGCUGCUACGCGCGGAUAAUCUGCGUGGCCACCGCAAGGAUGCAGUCAUGGUUGGGAACCUUCAACCCAGAGAGAGAGAGACGAAAGGUAAUGGCCUGUCCGAGAGUCACAUUUCUCCACGCACGCACACACCGAGCGUGAGGAUUAGAGUGUGUGCAGGAUUAGCUUUGGUGUUCCCGCUGGGUAGGUGUCAAACGGCGGGGAGCAAUUUGACCUUGUGACACUUGUGUGUGUGCGUUUCAUGGGCUUGUGUGUGUCCGUCUGUGCGCGCCAGCCCGUCCAUGCAUAUUUAAAUUUUGGAGCAGCGGCGCCUCUGCUCCUGACCUUACUGAAAGGAAAAGAAGGACAGGGGAGGCUGCCUGGGAAAAAUAUUAAGAUCUAGAGCAGUCCGAUUGUGAAAACAGGACAUGGGCUGCCGGGGAAAAGAGGAGAACGCCUCAACCUCCGGUUCUGCCGAGGGAACCCCGCGCGGCGUGUUACUGUCAUUCCCUCUACGGCCCAGCAGGGGGCGACUCCUCUGGUGGCAGAAAGAAGUCCUAUGUACGAUGUCUCUAUGAUGAAAGUCCUGCUUUGAACAGGACCGUGUUGACAUGCUGUAAAUUGCAAAUACGUCGACCGGGAAUCGUUGUGGUUGUGCAGUGAAGAAGGAAGAAGACCACCAGUGAAAACAACCCGAACCAAACUGCUAUUCCGAAGAGGAGUCAUAAUUAACUGUAACAUAUUAACAGACUUCUGUAUUGCCUUUGCACAAGUCCAGUAAGGAAGAAAGAAAGUCAGGUAAUCCAUUUAUUAUCAGACGACUAACGUUCGAUAUCCUGUAAACUAGGGGUGCCCAACCAACACGCCGCGGACCAGUACCGGUCUGUGGGCCAUAUUGACCAAUCCGCGAUUUAUUGUCUCAUAUGAAAACGGUCCGACGGGCAAAAAAGGUUGGAGACCCCUGCUGUCCCCAACCUGUCAAUCUAAUAACUGGCCUUCUUUGACGUGCAGUUGGGUUUUCAGUGGACUGUUUGUAAUGUCAGUCUGGUGCGGAUGCCAAGUUACAAAAAUUCUGAGAUGCCCGUCCAUGAGCGACAUUUCACGCUGUUACAGAGAAACGUUUGUAUGUAAUUCAUUGUCGUGUGAAGCAUUUUACAUUUAAAAGAAAACAUUCUUUCUGAAAUGUGUUCAAAAAAAAAUUGUCCCCUACAUGUAUGGAAGAGCCGUACUAAUCUGCUGGACAGCAAUGGAUUGAUAUGCAAUCAUUAAUUUCCAUUACUGGUAUCGGGAAGUGGCAUCUAACACCUGCCCACACAGAACUACUGCCCAAUGGUUUAAGCCUUGAAAUCCUGCACAAAGGUGCUCAGGGUCACACUCCUAUUCACCACGCGUCCAGCAGCAGCAGCAGUACCUGUUCUGUUGUUACCCCCCCCCCCUCCAGGGUGCGCUGGGGGGGGGGGGCAGUUUAGGGUUAAGGUUAUGUAGAUGCUGCCCCUAAGUGGCAGAUGUAAUUACUGCACAUUGAACUGGCGUAACCCUCACCGCCCAGACAACACACGCACACACACACACACACACACACACACUGUUCAUGUGGGCUAAUUGCUACGUGUAAAUAAGUCAGCAGGGUUUUUUUUUUAUCACACACUCGUUUCCUCGUAUUUCUCUUCCCCAAUCGCUCUCCUCGUUUCCAUCUGUUUUCCUCUGCCUCUCGCUUCGGUCCUCCUCUCUCUCUCUCUCUUCCCCCCCUACUCUUUUUUGUUCUCUCCUUCCCUCCCUCCGUCUCUCUCCCUCUCUUGUACCCAGCAUGAAUAAAGCAGCAAGCCAGGUUCAUGGACAUGAAUAUUUAUGAGUUUAUGCACGCGCUGCGAUGCUUUAAAACAACAACAACAGCCUCCCCGAUUGUGCUUGCCAAGCCAGCGAGCUCUCUGGCUUGUGUGUGUGUGUGUGUGUGUGUGUGUGUGUGUGUGUGUGUGUGUGUGUGUGUGUGUGUGUGUGUGUGUGUGUGUGUGUGUGUGUGUGUGUGUGGCAGCAGGUGUAAACUAGAGAAAGCGAUUCCUGCUGGGUGUCUGAAGACCGCCGGCUCUGGUUAUUUCCAUUCACUUCGCCACAUCUCCCUCCUGCUGUGCCUCACAUGUUCUCUGUCGCCAUCUCUCUCACACUGUGCCACACGCACACACACACACACACACACGCAUACAAGAGCAUGCAUGCUUCUUUUGUUUUGCAUUCACGCAUGUAGUUUCCUGCGUUCACCAUUCUUGAUCUUUUCUCUCGCUCUGACUCAGCCUGGCACCAUCCCCCUUCUUCGCUGUGUGUGUCUGUGUGUGUGUGUGUGUGUGUGUCUGUGUGUGUGUGGGGCUGGAGAGAUGACGUACGUAACUGGUGUUGGCAGUUAUCAGGGCCGUCAGUCACAUGGUUUCGACACAUCUCUCUGUGUCUCGAGCAAUUUGUUUGUGGUCACGCAUGAAUACGCACACACACACACACACACACACACACAGCGCACAAGGUCUUGGAGCAGCAUAGGUAAGUAGGGGGGGGGGGGGGGGGGGGGUAUUUAGA
ensembl:lncRNA